rnacentral:rRNA from 1 species
CUCAGAAUGAACGUUGGCGGCGUGGAUUAGGCAUGCAAGUCGAGCGAGAACCCAGCAAUGGGGGACAGCGGCGAAAGGGACAGUAAUGUGUAGAUCAUCUGCCCUCAGGUCCGGGAUAGCUGCGGGAAACUGCAGGUAAUACCGGAUAACAUCUCCGGAUCAAAGGUGUGAUUCCGCCUGAGGAUGAGUCUACAUCCUAUUAGCUUGUUGGUGGGGUAAUGGCCUACCAAGGCGAUGAUGGGUAGCGGGUGUGAGAGCACGACCCGCGUCAUUGGGACUGAGACACUGCCCAGACACCUACGGGUGGCUGCAGUCGAGAAUCUUCGGCAAUGGGCGCAAGCCUGACCGAGCGACGCCGCGUGCGGGAUGAAGGCCUUCGGGUUGUAAACCGCUGUCAGAGGGGAUGAAAUGCAGGUGGGUUCUCCCAUCUGUUUGACAUAGCCUCAGAGGAAGGACGGGCUAAGUUCGUGCCAGCAGCCGCGGUAAGACGAACCGUCCAAACGUUACUCGGAAUUACUGGGCUUAAAGGGUGCGUAGGCGGCGCGGAAAGUUGGGUGUGAAAUCCCUCGGCUCAACCGAGGAACUGCGCUCAAUACUGCCGUGCUCGAGGGAGAUAGAGGUGAGCGGAACUUAGGGUGGAGCGGUGAAAUGCGUUGAUAUCCUAAGGAACACCGGUGGCGAAAGCGGCUCACUGGAUCUCUUCUGACGCUGAGGCACGAAAGCUAGGGUAGCAAACGGGAUUAGAUACCCCGGUAGUCCUAGCCGUAAACGAUGAGCACUGGAUUGAAGGGUCCUCCAUAGCCUUUCAGUCGCAACGAAAGCGUUAAGUGCUCCGCCUGGGGAGUAUGGUCGCAAGGCUGAAACUCAAAUGAAUUGACGG